GUGAGCCAAUGGCCAGCACACGCGGCGGCAGGUCGCGGGUGACGACCGAACCGGCACCCACGACGGUGUCGGCGCCGAUCGUGACGCCGGGGCACACG
rnacentral:tRNA from 2 species